GUCAGUUUGGCCGAGUGGUUAAGGCGACAGACUCGAAAUCUGUAGGGCGUAGCCCGCACAGGUUCAAAUCCUGUAGCUGACG
rnacentral:tRNA from 1 species